CCUCAGCCUGGUUGGUAAUCAGGUGGUGAGUGUAAGUGCACAAGGGAGCUUGACUGUGAGACCGACGGGUCGAGCAGGGACGAAAGUCGGGACUAGUGAUCCGGCGGUGGCUUGUGGAAGCGCCGUCGCUCAACGGAUAAAAGGUACCCCGGGGAUAACAGGCUGAUCUUCCCCAAGAGUCCAUAUCGACGGGAUGGUUUGGCACCUCGAUGUCGGCUCGUCGCAUCCUGGGGCUGGAGUCGGUCCCAAGGGUUGGGCUGUUCGCCCAUUAAAGCGGUACGCGAGCUGGGUUUAGAACGUCGUGAGACAGUUCGGUCCCUAUCCGCUGUGCGCGUAGGAAUAUUGAGAAGGGCUGUCCCUAGUACGAGAGGACCGGGACGGACGAACCUCUGGUGUGCCAGUUGUUCUGCCAAGGGCAUGGCUGGUUGGCUACGUUCGGGAGGGAUAACCGCUGAAAGCAUCUAAGCGGGAAGCCUGCUUCGAGAUGAGUGUUCCCACCUCCUUUGAGAGGGUAAGGCUCCCAGUAGACGACUGGGUUGAUAGGCCGGAUAUGGAAGCCCUGUGAGGGGUGGAGUUGACCGGUACUAAUAGGCCGAGGGCUUGUCCUCAGUUG
rnacentral:rRNA from 1 species